AGUUAGUUACCGUGCUUCCUCACAUUAUCCGACAUAUCGAAUAAUGUGAGGAAGCACGGUAAAUGUGU
rnacentral:pre_miRNA from 1 species